GCGCAGCAGGCGAGAAAACUUCACACUGUGCGAAAGCACGAUGAGGGAAUCCCAAGUGCUUGCACGUAAGUGUAAGCUGUUUCUCUGUUUAAAACGCAGAGAGAGUAAGGGCUGGGUAAGACGGGUGCCAGCCGCCGCGGUAAUACCUGCAGCUCAAGUGGUGACCGUUAUUAUUGGGCCUAAAACGUCCGUAGCCGGUUUAAUAAAUGCCUGGGUAAAUCGUGUAGCUUAACUAUACGAAUUCCGGGUAGACUGUUAAACUCGAGACCGGGAGAAGUUAGAGGUACUCCUGGGGUAGAGGUGAAAUUCUGUAAUCCUAGGGGGACCACCAGUGGCGAAGGCGUCUAACUAGAACGGGUCUGACGGUGAGGGACGAAGCCCUGGGGCGCAAACGGGGAUUAGAUACCCGGGUAGU
rnacentral:rRNA from 1 species